AGCCCAUGAGCUUGAAUAAGCGUUUACUUUGAAAGUAUAAGAUAGGAUUUCCUAUGGGCUU
rnacentral:tRNA from 1 species